ensembl:snRNA U6 U6 spliceosomal RNA
GUGCUUGCUUUGGCAGCACGUAUACUAAAAUUGGAACGAUACAGAGAAGAUUAGGAUGGCCCCUGCGCGAGGAUGACACACAAAUUCAUGACGUGUUCCCUAUUUUU